rnacentral:rRNA from 1 species
GACGAACGCUGGCGGCGUGCUUAACACAUGCAAGUCGAACGGAAAGGCCCCUUUGGGGGUACUCGAGUGGCGAACGGGUGAGUAACACGUGAGUAACCUGCCCUUGACUUCGGGAUAACUUCAGGAAACUGGGGCUAAUACCGGAUAGGAAUCCUUGCUGCAUGGUGGGGGUUGGUAAGCUUCGGCGGUUUUGGAUGGACUCGCGGCUUAUCAGCUUGUUGGUGGGGUAGUGGCUUACCAAGGCUUUGAUGGGUAGCCGGCCUGAGAGGGCGAGCGGCCACAUUGGGACUGAGAGACGGCCCAGGCGCCUACGGGAGGCAGCAGUGGGGAAGAUUGCACAAUGGGCGGAAGCCUGAUGCAGCAACGCCGCGUGCGGGAUGACGGCCUUCGGGUUGUAAACCGCUUUCAGCAGGGGCGAAGCUUGUGGUGACGUUACCUGCAGAAGAAGCACCGGCUAACUACGUG